GAUGAACGCUGGCGGCGUGCCUAAUACAUGCAAGUCGAGCGAACAGACGAGGAGCUUGCUCCUCUGACGUUAGCGGCGGACGGGUGAGUAACACGUGGAUAAACUACCUAUAAGACUGGGAUAACUUCGGGAAACCGGAGCUAAUACCGGAUAAUAUAUUGAACCGCAUGGUUCAAUAGUGAAAGACGGUUUUGCUGUCACUUAUAGAUGGAUCCGCGCCGCAUUAGCUAGUUGGUAAGGUAACGGCUUACCAAGGCAACGAUGCGUAGCCGACCUGAGAGGGUGAUCGGCCACACUGGAACUGAGACACGGUCCAGACUCCUACGGGAGGCAGCAGUAGGGAAUCUUCCGCAAUGGGCGAAAGCCUGACGGAGCAACGCCGCGUGAGUGAUGAAGGUCUUCUGAUCGUAAAACUCUGUUAUUAGGGAAGAACAAAUGUUUAAGUAACUAUGCACGUCUUGACGGUACCUAAUCAGAAAGCCACGGCUAACUACGUG
rnacentral:rRNA from 1 species